CCUACGGGAGACAGCAGUCGAGAAUCAUUCACAAUGGGGGAAACCCUGAUGGUGCGACGCCGCGUGGGGGAAUGAAGGUCUUCGGAUUGUAAACCCCUGUCAUGUGGGAGCAAAUUAAAAAGAUAGUACCACAAGAGGAAGAGACGGCUAACUCUGUGCCAGCAGCCGCGGUAAUACAGAGGUCUCAAGCGUUGUUCGGAAUCACUGGGCGUAAAGCGUGCGUAGGCUGUUUCGUAAGUCGUGUGUGAAAGGCGCGGGCUCAACCCGCGGACGGCACAUGAUACUGCGAGACUAGAGUAAUGGAGGGGGAACCGGAAUUCUCGGUGUAGCAGUGAAAUGCGUAGAUAUCGAGAGGAACACUCGUGGCGAAGGCGGGUUCCUGGACAUUAACUGACGCUGAGGCACGAAGGCCAGGGGAGCAAACAGGAUUAGAUAUCCGAGUAGUC
rnacentral:rRNA from 1 species